UAAAUGUUUAAACUUUUGCUUCACUUAUGAAUUGAAAAAAGUAUUAAUAAAAGUACAACAUUCUGCAUCAAGAUUUUUUAUUGUAUUUUUAUUUUUGAUUAAGACUUAAUUAACAUCUUAAUUCUCAAUUUAUGAAAAAAUAUAUAAACCUGAAAUCAUAUUUUUAUUUUUCCUAUUAUACAAUUGUUAUCACAAUUGAUUAAAUUGUAUAUAAUUAUUUUUAUAAUCAUGGACCGAUCAUAGAAAUUGUGAGAGCCGCCACGGUGGUGUCCGUGCGAUAAACAUACGCCAAAAAAACAUUUAAAUCCCGCGAUUGUCAAAGUCGGAGCUAAGAUUGCUUUCCAUACAUGGUUACCGAUAGUUAUGCGCUCGUAUUUUGAUAUAUGAAAAAAUAUGCGACACUUAACACGACAUCGAUAGUGAUUACCGAAUAGUAUCCCUGAAAGAAAAAGGAAAAAAAAACGAAAUGACACGGUCAUUCGGCACAUCAAACGUAGCUGAGCGCGCGCGCGCGCGCACGUGUGUGUGUGUGUGUGCGUGCGCACGCGCGCAGCACACCCUGACAUCGCGUCAUUCGUGUAGACGAUUGACAAUUCGGCCGCGCAUCGUUUCAAUAGAUAAGGAAUAAACAAAAAAAAUAGACAAAACGCUUAUACUUUUUAUUUAUUCUUCGUCACUCUAUCGAGCAGCGGUGGACGGAGAGGUAAAAGCCAAGUGCAUUCGGUUCGCGAGCUGAGUUGGGACAGACCUGUAAGUUUGCAACUGUAAUUACGUUUUAAUUGUAAAUUGUAGUUGCAUGUUAUAUUCCUAAUGUGCAUUUGUAAAAAGAGAUAAGCAUAUAAGAUUAUUGCAACGUGAUUACCUGUAAAAUUUGUUAUUCUUUACUUUCUUUUUUAAAAUAAUAGUGAUAGUAGUAGUAGUAUACACUGUUAGAAAUAUUUGUGAAUUUACAAUACCCUUACAAUAAAAAUGUGUUGUAAAUUUACAAAUCAUGUGACGUUUUACUGCGAUUUCACAAUAUUUGUGAAAUUACAAUAGAAAUUUUCUGUAAGUUUACAAAAUUGGCACGACGCGGAUGCGCAUUAGCGAUUUGCGCAUAUCGCGAGGUCCCGGGCCCCGGGCCGGUCUGGCCGACUAGACGAGCUUUCUGUCGCGGCCCGCCGCCAUUGUAUCUUCUCAUACUACGUGUGGUGCUGCGUGGUGAUUGCCCGGUCAUCUGUGCUUCUAUAUAUUUCUGUGCUUCAAGAUAAGAGGAUUGACUGCUUCUGUGCAUUUUUGUGCUUUAGGAUAAGAGGAUUAACUGAUUCAGAUUUUUAGAAUGUAUCACUGUCAUUUUUGUACAUAUACAUCCAAUUCUUGGGGUGAUAAUCUUCAACAUCAACAAUUCCACAAAAGUGUAUCUGAUCAAUUUCAUUGUGGAUACAACAACUGCCGUAAAUUUUUUAAAAAAGAAAACAAUUUACGAAUGCAUAUGAUUCGCACACAUCGUGUUUCUAUCAAAACUGAAAGCAUUUCGUCAAAAGUACGUCUCGUUAACCAAAAUGCUCAAUUAAUUUGCACUGUGCUUGUGUGUAAGAAAGUAUUUCAAAAUUAUUCUGAAUUUUUAAAACAUCUUAAAGAGCACAUCAGAAAUGAUGUACGUGUAAAUUGUCCGUACAGUAAUUGUAAUAAGGCAUAUGAGAAUGUCCAGUCCUUCACUGGACAUUUAAGUAAAUAUCACCGGAAUCUGUGUUUAACAUAUACAGAAGACGAUAAUAUUAAUAAUGAAUAUGAAAAUUUGCCAGUUGAAAUAAGUGCAUUAUCAACCGAUGAGGCUCCUGCUGUUUCUAUUAAUAAUAAUGAAAAUAAAGACGAACUAUUUUUAACGUAUAUUGCUCAGUUUUACUUAAAGCUUGAAAGCCAGUAUCUCGUUCCUGUAUCUACAAUUGAUCAUCUUGCAGCUGAUAUAGAGAAUAUGUAUAAUCAUGGGUGGCAAAAUAUAUUGGACAAUGUUCGUCAAUGUUUAAAACAAGAGAAAAUAUCGGAGAGUAACAUAAAUAGAAUAUGUAAAGAUUUAACUUUAAACGAUCUGUUUCUAAAGAACAAUAAACUUUUGAAUAAUAAGUUUAAAAGAACUAAUUAUUACAUGCAUAAAAAUACAUAUGUAGCGCCAAAAAAAAA